AAUAUAUUUUUUUGUGUUUAAUGUUACAUUUUCCAAACUUUAUGAAUAUGAAGCAAAAUACAAUGUAUAUUUUAAACGGAGAGCUUGGACAAAAGUGUCGAUUGCAUGUCGUUUCUGUUUAACCGCCAAUUCAGGAUCGCAGCAUGCUUUCCCAACUCUGUGAAGUUAAGUGUAUUGUUUCUUGAUAAUUAAUAUUUAAAUGUGUUUAUGUUACAUUUUCCAAGUUAAUGAAUAUAAUAAAGCAAAAUACGCUACAUAUUCUAAACAGAAAGCUGUGAAUCACUGUUGGCCACUGUUUAAUAUUUUUAAUGAAUGUUUAUCUUUUUUUUUCUAGUUCACACACACAGUUUGACAGUUGUUGUACAGUGUCAUGUGUCUCCGUAGUGGCCUGCUUGAUGUGGUCAGUUUGGGAUGAAAUUUAUUGGACCUAAAGUGGAGUAGUGACAUGACUUCCCUCAGGUCACCCAUUUCCAAGAUGGGAACAGAACUGAUUGCAGUUCAAUCACCACAACUCCGAUGUGUGAAAUAGACAGGAAAUGGCAGCUGCAGGAAUAUCCUUUCAUCUCACCCAGUUGUGGAAGACACAACAAGUUUCAGGAUGAAUGGGUUGUGAAGAGCCAGAGACAUGACAGCCAUGGUAAACAGUUCACGCACAGUUUGACAGUUAUACAUUGUGACAUGUCUCUCUAGUGACCAGCUUGAUGUGGUCAGUUUGGGAUGAAAUGUAUUGGACCCAAAGUGGAGCAGUGGUCAUUACUUCCCUUGGAUGACCCAUUGCCAUGACAGUAACUGGACUGCUUGCAGGAAUCCCUGUGGCAAGAUUCAGGACAUUGUCAAAUGGUGUGUGUUAACAGCCUGUUUCCAGAUCACACUGUAAGGAGGAAUCUGCAUCUGGUAUUGGUAGUAAGGAGAAGUCUUGAAUGGGUAUAUAUUGUUUUCCAGAUGACAGUAAUAGGUAACCCUUUCCUUGCAGCAUGGAGGCUUCUUGGUGGACUGACUCUACCUGUCUGGUCAUGGCUAAUGCCUAUAGAAAAAACAGGCAGUGAAAAACAGCAUCAAGAGCAGUUCUGUCUCAUCCAUGUGUACAAUACCUGAUAUGUGGCAAGAUUUAGGACAUUGUCAAAUGGUUUGUGCUAACAGCCUGAUUCCAGAAACCCACUGUAAGGAGGAAUCUGCACCAGGAACUGUCAGAAGUGGGCCAAGGAACAGAUGAUUAGUG